rnacentral:rRNA from 1 species
UUGUUUUGCCCAUGAGGGUAUAGGACCGUACCAAAUGUGCCAGGUAUAGAAUUUAUUUCCAAGCCCAUCCCCUUGGAAGACGGUAUCCUUCUGGCAGGGUACUGUACUAAACUAACUAAAGUGGGGGAUAGUGAGGGGAUAAAUUUUUCUUAAGGAACUCGGCAAAAUCCCAAUGGCCCACCAGGGCAUAUUGGAACACGGGCCUCGACUGUUUACCAAAAACAUAGCCCUCGGCUAAUAUGAAAAUAGAUGUAUAGAGGGUGAUGCCUGCCCAAUGGUUGUAUCUAAAAGCGGUUGAUAAAAGUUGACCUCGUAAGGACAAUUGAAUGGCCGCGGUAACACUGACCGUGAUAAUGUAGCGUAAUCAAUAGCCAAUUAAUUGUUGGCCAGUAUGAAUGGCGCCACGAAGGCCCCACUGUCUUAAGGAAAUUCCCAGUGAAAUUGAAUUCGUAGUGAAGAUGCUACGUCCAAUUUGUUAGACGAAAAGACCCCGUUGAGCUUUACUGGAGCACUUACAUGGCCCCGGCCUUCCCAUGCCUGGGAACCGGCCGAAUUUAAAUGGGCGGCUUAGAUUAUGUGGCAGCCCCCCGCUGGGGCAAAUGAAACACCACUCCCCCAUGUCAAAGGGGCUAACCCCCCCCCCUUGGGGGGACAGUGUAAGUAGGACAGUUUGGUUGGGGCGACCACCUUUUAAAAAGUAACGAAGGUGCGCUUAAGGUGCGCAAUUAAUGACUGAAGCCUGACUGCGAGGGGGACACCCCGAGCAGACACCCCAAAGCCCGCCCGAAAGGCGGCGGUGGGGUGGGCCAUAGUGACCCGUAAUUUAGAGUGGAAUAGUUAACGAUCAACGAAUAAAAGUUACCACGGGAUAACAGCGUAAUAUCGUUAGAGAGUUCACAUCGACGACGAUGUUGCGACCUCGAUGUGAUUGCGCAUCUGGGUGCAGCGCUCAAGUUGUGUCGCUGUGUGCAGA